UACGUAGGGCGCAAGCGUUGUCCGGAAUUAUUGGGCGUAAAGAGCUCGUAGGCGGUUUGUCGCGUCUGCUGUGAAAACCUAAGGCUCAACCUUGGGCUUGCAGUGGGUACGGGCAGACUAGAGUGCGGUAGGGGUGACUGGAAUUCCUGGUGUAGCGGUGGAAUGCGCAGAUAUCAGGAGGAACACCGAUGGCGAAGGCAGGUCACUGGGCCGCAACUGACGCUGAGGAAGCGAAAGCCGUGGGGAGGCG
rnacentral:rRNA from 1 species